CCGUGCUAAGUGGGGAGGUAGCGGUUCCCUGUACUUGCAAGCCGCUUAGGCAAGACCGAAUCCCUCUGCUGAGGGUAACAUUUUGUGAGGCCUGACCUUGACACGUAGUGUUGAGAAGACGGUCCGAGUCAAUAUAAGCCCAUGAAGCAUGUCAGGUCCGGAAGGAAGCAGCAUUAAGUGGUCACUUAUAUGUGGCUGGGGCAGCCGUCUUUGAGCUGUCGACCAAGGUUCCGCUUGUGACUGUUAAACGAAGCAGAGGUGCACGG
rnacentral:SRP_RNA from 1 species